rnacentral:tRNA from 1 species
AAGGGAGACCUAAUUCAGGUAGGAGACGAAAAAAAAGUAGUCGCUACCAAGAAUCAAUCCCAAAAGGUCGGAGCGAGGCGAAAUUGGCUUUCAAACUAGGUUCUGGGUUCACACAAGACCUGAAUCAGGAACAAGGGCUAUUAGCUCAGGUGGUUAGAGCGCACCCCUGAUAAGGGUGAGGCCCCUGGUUCGAGUCCAGGAUGGCCCACCUGCACAGGUGGCAAAAACAAGAGAAGCGAGGAAUCAGCACCUUAUCUUAUCUAUAUAUAUAUAGGAGAGAAUGCUGGCUCUGAGUAAAGAGUCCAGAGGAACCUUGAAAACUGCAUAGAGCUAGGUGAAAAAGCCAAAAAAGAAGACCGCAAGGUCAAGCUAAUAAGGGCUAACGGUGGAUACCUAGGCAC